AUGAACGCUAGCGGGAGGCCUAACACAUGCAAGCCGAGCGGUAUAAUUCUUUCGGGAAUUAGAGAGCGGCGCACGGGUGCGGAACACGUGUGCAACCUGCCUUUAUCUGGGGGAUAGCCUUCCGAGAGGGAGAUUAAUACCCCAUAAUAUAUUGACUGGCAUCAGUUAAUAUUGAAAACUCCGGUGGAUAGAGAUGGGCACGCGCAAGAUUAGAUAGUUGGUGAGGUAACGGCUCACCAAGUCAGUGAUCUUUAGGGGGCCUGAGAGGGUGAUCACCCACACUGGUACUGAGACACGGACCAGACUCCUACGGGAGGCAGCAGUGAGGAAUAUUGGACAAUGGGUGAGAGCCUGAUCCAGCCAUCCCGCGUGAAGGACGACGGCCCUAUGGGUUGUAAACUUCUUUUGUACAGGGAUAAACCUAGAUACGUGUAUCUAGCUGAAGGUACUGUACGAAUAAGCACCGGCUAACUCCGUGCCAGCAGCCGCCGCGG
rnacentral:rRNA from 1 species